GGGGAAUAUUGGACAAUGGGCGCAAGCCUGAUCCAGCAAUGCCGCGUGGAUGAAGAAGGUUUUCGGAUUGUAAAGUCCUUUCGGCGGGGACGAUGAUGACGGUACCCGCAGAAGAAGCCCCGGCUAACUUCGUGCCAGCAGCCGCGGUAAUACGAAGGGGGCUAGCGUUGCUCGGAAUGACUGGGCGUAAAGGGCGCGUAGGCGGUUUGGACAGUCAGAUGUGAAAUUCCUGGGCUUAACCUGGGGGCUGCAUUUGAUACGUUCAGACUUGAGUGUGGAAGAGGGUCGUGGAAUUCCCAGUGUAGAGGUGAAAUUCGUAGAUAUUGGGAAGAACACCGGUGGCGAAGGCGGCGACCCGGUCCAUUACUGACGCUGAGGCGCGAAAGCGUGGGGAGCAAACA
rnacentral:rRNA from 1 species